rnacentral:rRNA from 1 species
ACCGUGCAAAGGUAGCAUAAUCAUUUGCCUAUUAAUUGUAGGCUAGUAUGAAAGGAUAAACGAGAAUAUAGCUGUCUCCUUUAAACAAAUAAAAAUUUAUAUUUGAGUGAAGAAGCUCAAAUAAAAUCGCAGGACAAGAAGACCCUAUAGAGCUUUACCAAAAAUAUUUAAUCUUAAGAUUUUAUGGUUCGGUUGGGGCGACCAGGGGCAUAACUAAUCACCCCUAUUACUAAAGAUUCACCAAUCUUACCAAUGAUCCUUAAACAAAGAUCAAUGAAUCCAGCUACCUUAGGGAUAACAGGCUAAUCCUCUUAGAGAGCCCUUAUUGACAAGAGGGA